GUGGCUGUAGCUCAAUGGCAGAGCACCGGACUGUGGCUCCGGUGGUUGUGGGUUCGAGUCCCAUCAGCCACCCCA
rnacentral:tRNA from 1 species